CCGGACCUUGGCUGCGGGAGCAGGGUGGAACGACAGGGCCCUGAUAGACCAUUACAGGUGUAGCCUGAGAGAGGACGUCCGUAGGGAGCUGGCCUGUCGGGAUACUACGCUUAGCCUGGAUGGACUGAUAGACCUGUCGAUCCGGUUGGACCAUCUGCUAGCUGCUCGUGGACGUUCUGAAAGGGUCCUGUCAGUUCUACCUCCUGAUCCUCCUGCCCCUAUCCCGAUGGAGCUAGGAGGGACUGCGUCAAGGGAGAUCGGAGGAGGAAGCUCCUCCUGUACCAGUUGUGGCCGGAGAGGGCACACGUCUGGUCGGUGCUGGAGGAAUUCAUCUGGGAAUCGUGAGGGCAGGCAGAACACUCAUCGGUCACCCCAGGCCGGUGGUAGCUGGUCCUAUGCAGGAAGAUGAGGUUCCGGAGGUUCCUCCGCCCCCUCUGGACAUCGAGGGGUCCCCGGCGUACAAGAUACGAGCUAUUCUGGACUCGAGACGCCGGGUGAGAGGCUUGCAGUACCUCGUUGACUGGGAGGGGUACGGUCCGGAGGAGAGGUGCUGGGUCCCGGUGAGGGAUAUUCUAGACCCAUCUAUGUUGAGUGAAUUCCAUCGCCUCCGUCCAGAUCGCCCAGCGCCUCGGCCCCCGGGUCGUCCCCGAGGCCGGCGUCGGCGCGCUGCGGGAGCUGCGCGUCAGGAGGGGGGGUACUGUCACGAAUAUUACCGAAGGUGACUCCCCUUCUUGUUCGGGUGGCGCUCGGCGGUCGUCGUCGCUGGUCUACUAGCUAUCGCUGAUCCGUUGUUCUGUGUUCGUUUAGUUCUGUCUAAUUGGUAUCACCUGUUUCUUGUUUGGUUGUUAGGAUAGGGUUAUAUAUAGUCUGUUCAGCCCGCUUCUGUUUCGUGCGGGCUUGUUCUCCUGUUUCUUUGUUUGAGUGUAUUUUUGUUGGCAUUUGGGUUUCACACUGUCCGUUUAUAUUUCUGUUCAUUUGUGUUUCCACUUUUGUUCAUGUUAUGUUUCCAGGACAUUAAAGCGUGUUGUUUUUCCCACA